AACGAACGCUGGCGGCAGGCCUAACACAUGCAAGUCGAGCGAGGACUUCGGUCCUAGCGGCGGACGGGUGAGUAACGCGUGGGAACGUGCCCUUUGGUACGGAAUAGCCCCGGGAAACUGGGAGUAAUACCGUAUGGUGUCUUCGGACUAAAGAUUUAUCGCCAAAGGAUCGGCCCGCGUUGGAUUAGGUAGUUGGUGGGGUAAUGGCCUACCAAGCCAACGAUCCAUAGCUGGUUUGAGAGGAUGAUCAGCCACACUGGGACUGAGACACGGCCCAGACUCCUACGGGAGGCAGCAGUGGGGAAUCUUAGACAAUGGGGGCAACCCUGAUCUAGCCAUGCCGCGUGAGUGAUGAAGGCCCUAGGGUUGUAAAGCUCUUUCAGCUGGGAAGAUAAUGACGGUACCAGCAGAAGAAGCCCCGGCUAACUCCGUG
rnacentral:rRNA from 1 species